GUGGUUCUGGCAGCGAAGUGCGAGACUGGGCUCGCCAGGCGGAAGUGGUUGGAGACUGCGUGUUUUCCUAGAAAGUCCUCGACCUUCGUCGGGGAGAGGAGGGGAGUGAUAAAUUGGAAGGCGGACAAGCGACAAGUGCGGUACUGGAAAGACCCAAACAUACUUGGUUGUGACCUCAGGACUCAAUAAAAUAAACAGCUGGAAAUAAGCAGACUAGUGUAAGAGUGAAUUGAAAAGAAAACCCAAGGUCACAUCUCCCAAGAAGCAGUAAUGUUCCAGCAAUAAGAAAAGGACAGUUUUUUGUCUUUUGCAUGGUGAGCCUUAUAUGAAUUACAUCAAUUUUGUCACCAAUAUCCAUCAUCAGAACAUUUUGAUUCUACAUAACACAUUGCAAAUGGUCACAACAAUCAAGACUAUAUCCAUAGAUGUCCCAGAAAUAAUAUCUGACUAUACAGAGCAGCAUUACCAAGCCACCAAGAAGUCUGCCUAGUAAUGACAAUGAUAACAACAGCUAACACUUAUCAACAGAGCAGAGGAACAGAGCCACAGAUAACUGAAAACCACUUUGGCACUGAGGAGGUAUGCAGACAAGAUCUGGAAGGGAAUCUAGAAAAAUGGCAACUUUGGAAUAAUAGAUACCUUUUGUUUUCUUAUCGCUUUUAUUUUUGUCAUGAUAAAUAUUAAGAGUAAAAAGAAAAUUCACAUUGUUUGUGCCAUGGUACUCAGUCAACUUAGGUUUUACUCAAUAGCAUGUUGUUAAUUAAUCUUCCAAAUUGUUGGGGUAUUUCAUAUGAAGUAGCCCCUACCCCCACCUUGUCCUUUCCCCAGACUCCAUUCCUAGAUAAUCACUUCUGUCAAUUCCUAGAUAA
rnacentral:lncRNA from 10 species